AAAGCCGGCUACGACCCGAGUUCGAUUCCCGCUCACGGCAACCACCACCAACCGCCGCCAUUACCACCAGUCUGAGAUUUAGCUGAACCGGUCCGGGGCCUCACCUAGGUCGAGUCGGCAAUGCAAAUGAGCACCCGGUGCGACAUGUGAUCCAUCGCGUGCGCACUCACGCGCGCGGCACGUGACGCGUACCCGGGGUUCUUUGGAGCAAGGCCCCGGCUCGUUAGACAUCCGCGGAAGCGUCGGGAAAGAGCAAGGAGAGUCGAGGUUGUGUGGGGGCCGACGCCCGCCUCCCCGCUCCCUGUGAGCGGGCGGGGCGCGGCGCUCACCCCCUCCACCCCCCCCCCUCCUCGUGGGCCGCCUCUCGCCGGGCCCCCGCCGAUCGGAACUCGCAAGGGAAUGGGGAGGCGGCGGUGGCAGCCGCAGGAGUGACUGGGCGAGGUCCCACCCUCAAGCAGCGACACGAGUGAGGACCAGGGGAUCGUCAAGCGGCCGACCUGGGGAUUGAACCAGGGCCGGUGGAGAUGUCUGGGACCACAAGAGCAUGCCAGGAGCGGCAGGAGCGGCAGGAGCGGCGAACCAAGCUGGCUGCAGCCUGGCACUGGCCAAAAGUGAAGUCUGUGGCCAUCUGUUUACCGGGGUGACUGCUUGGCUGUCCACGGACAUCUCCCACUGUCCGAAAAGGCGUUAGCAGGCGAGGGGUGGAAACCCCGGAGGAGGAACACGGGGCACUCUGUGAAGCAGAGUUGCGUAGGGGAGGUGGAUGAGCCCCCUUCCCCCAAAGUGUCUGUGUGAGUCUCGGGAAAGCGGUCGGGACUUUAGGUGUGAUUGGAUGUGUGUGGGUGAUCUUGUGUUUGUUCUUAUUCGUUUAAUGUUCUUUGUGGUAGUCUGCUACCAGGUUAUAACGCCUCUGCUUGGAGUGGCCGGUGUAAGCUCGGGUAA